CCUACGGGUGGCAGCAGUGGGGAAUAUUGGGCAAUGGGCGCAAGCCUGACCCAGCAACGCCGCGUGAAGGAAGAAGGCUCUCGGGUUGUAAACUUCUUUUCUGAGGGACGAAGAAAGUGACGGUACCUCAGGAAUAAGCCACGGCUAACUACGUGCCAGCAGCCGCGGUAAUACGUAGGUGGCAAGCGUUAUCCGGAUUUAUUGGGUGUAAAGGGCGUGUAGGCGGGAAAGCAAGUCAGAUGUGAAAACUCAGGGCUCAACCCUGAUCCUGCGUUUGAAACUGUUUUUCUUGGGUGCUGGAGAGGCAAUCGGAAUUCCGGGGGUGGCGGUGAAAUGCGUAGAUAUACGGAGGAACACCAGUGGCGAGGGCGGAUUGCUGGACAGUAACUGACGCUGAGGCGCGAAAGCGUGGGGAGCAAACAGGAUUAGAUACCCUGUAGUC
rnacentral:rRNA from 1 species